CAAAUUUUAAUUUAAAAAAAAUAUUUCUUUUACAUAGAAAAUUUAUAUUUAAUUUUAUAAAUUUGA
rnacentral:tRNA from 1 species